UUAAGUUCAGCGGGUAUCCCUACCUGAUCCGAGGUCAACCUGUAAAAGAUUAGGGGUUCUGGCAAGCCACCGGGGGAACUCUAUAGCGGGAGUAUGUACUACGCUUAGAGCCCACCGGCGCCGCCACUAUUUUUGAGGGCCGCGAGACCGCGUGCCCCAAUACCAAGCUAGGCUUGAGUGGUCAAAUGACGCUCGAACAG
rnacentral:misc_RNA from 1 species